UAUGCAAGUAAGUGGCAGAGCUAGAAACCAGCUCUUACUCAAGAAUGCUACAAAGCUGCGCUGUAAACAGUUUGGAAACUAUUAUUGCAACUACUGCCUUAUGUUAGGCAGAGAAGUUAAAUGACUUGACAAGUUUACCCAGCCAGUUAGUAGAAGAGCUAGAAUUAGCUGUCUGUCUUCUGUCUUCCAGUUCCUCUGAUAUUUUUAGUAGACUUUGCAUAUGGAAUAUUUAGUGUGACUGAAUGUCCAGGUAGAGGUAUCCAGGACUGGACUUUGGAAAGGAGGGAGGGUUUAGAGUUACCCAAUCGAGAUUUACAUUGAGUGAAGAGUGGAAUCCACGUUGGCAGGUCAGAUUGCCAAAGAGAGAAAGAUAAGAGUUAUGAAGAAUAGUAAUCAUAUCAUAAUUCCAAAUAUACAACAAAUAAUGAUUGAGCCACUGAAAAAAAUUAAUUCGAUAACAUAAGCUGAGGUGAAGCAGUACAGCAUUUUAGAGUAUAAAAGUGAUUCUAUCGGUUUCAUAUUUACUCAGCUCAUUCAAUCACCAUCUAUGUGGUGUCUACUAGCACCAAGUUAUGUGCUAAGGAUAUAAAGAUGAAUAGAAACUUCUGAUGUCAAGAUAAUCACCACCCACUGGGAAAGCAAAUAAACAAUAAAUUAUUAGGCCAUAAUAAAACUAUAUUUAAAGUGUUAUAAGAGCACAGAAGAUAGUACUCACCUCUGCCUAAGGUAAAGUUCUCAUAAGCACAGGAUUCCAAAGCAGAACAAAGCUGACAAAAUUUUUAAUGCAGCAUGUAGCAGUAAUUUGGUGAGCACCUCAUCAAAUGUUGUACAACAGAUUAAUUAUUCCGAGCGGACUGGAAUAAUUCUCUUAAAGUGGCAUAACAGUAGCAUUAAUGUCCUUCCUUUUUUCACUUCGUCACAUUGUUUCGCUCUGCCUCUGUGCAGAAAUGAAAUUAGGGUCACCAUGCCUUUGAAAUAUAGCCUCUGCUCUCACUAAUGCUAGAGCUGUCAAAAUGAGGAAUAAGAACUAUCACUCCCAUGUCUGAUUCCUAAAUAACGAUAUUUUCUUUAAGACAGGAAAAAAACAGUUACACGUAUUCCUAAUCCAUAGUCUAAAAUACUAUCUAGCAUAAAGCUAUAUCAAAUAAAUAAAAAGAUGUGUUUGAAGUUUCAUCUAACAUCUAGUCAACUGGCUUUUGUGAAGAGUAUCUGGUUAUCACCCUUCCUUCUAGCUACACCAUACUUUAUGCUACUAUGUCCUUUUGGCUCUGUAUCCAGGAAGAAUACAGAGACCAGAAACAAUAGGGUUCAAUAAGAGGAGGAGUAUAACCUAAGGGUCCAUAGUGCAAUGUUUGGAAAUGUACCCUUGCCCUCUGGAACUUUAACAUGAACCCUAUCUCCAUUCCAUUUGUGCUCCUCUCUAAGUGCCUUCUCACCCUUAAUGUCAGCAAUCCUCAAACAACCCUGAGAAGCUGGUAUUAUUAGACUCACUUGUAGAUAUAUAAACUAAGGUCUAAUCUAAUGUUAGACAGCAAAUUAGUAACAAAACCAGGUCUGAAAGUCAGGAGUUUCUUUCUUACUAGCUCAGAAAUCUGUCCUCUAUAUCAGCAGUUGGCAAACUUUGGCUAUAGAAAGCCAGGUGAAAAAUAUUUUAGGCUUUGUGGGCCAAACCGUCUCUGUCUAGGACUGACAGAUUUAGCAAAGACAAAUGCAACACACCUAGUUACAUUUGAACUUCAAAUAAGCAACAAAUUUUUUUUAGUGUACGUCCCAUGCAAUAUUUUUGUUUAUCUGAAAUUCAAAUUUAACUAGAUUUCUUGUAUUCUAUCCGGCAACCCUAUCUCUGUCACAAUCACUCAACUCUGCCAUUGUGCACAAAAGCAGCCACAGACAAUACAUAAAUGAGCAAGUUUGACUGUAUGCAAAUAAAAUGUUGACAAAAACAGACAGCAGGGCUUAUUUGGCUGGUGGGGGGUCAUGGUUUGCUAACAUCUACUCCAUGUCAUUGGCUUUGUCUUUACUAAGAGUUGACCUGCAUAAAGG
rnacentral:lncRNA from 1 species